UUUUCUCUGGAGACACUAGUGCCUCUGUUGUUUCAGAUGAAACCAUCUAGGUGCAGAAAAACAAGUUCAGGGCUUCCACUGAUUCUACAUUAUGAUACUUGCUGCUACAUUGCCUCUCCCUCUCUGUGUGGACAUAACUGCCUUUGCUGCAAAGUGCUGGAAGCUGGCCUCUUCAGAGCCAGAGGCUGAAAGAUGGAGUCUUACUCUGUCGCUCAGGCUGGAGUGAAGUGGCACAAUCUCAGCUCCCUGCAACCUCCUCCUCCUGGGUUCAAGCGAUUCUCCUGCCUCAGCCUCCCACAUAACAGGAAUAACAGGCAUGCACCACUAUCCCAGUUAAUUUUUUGUAUUUUAAACAGAGACAAGGUUUUGCCACGUUGGUCAGGCUGGUCUUGAACACCUGCCUUGGCCUCCCAAAGAGCUGGGAUUACACGUGUGAGCCACCAUGCACGGCCUUCAUUUCUAACUACAAAACCUGGCUCCAAGCUCACCCUCAAAAAGUUAUCCUGAAUAGCCCUGUCCCAGGCUGGCCACCCCUGAAAUCUUUUGGGUGCUUCAGUGUUCUUCAUGCAUUUUUAAUGUUGCUUUUAUUCUUUGCAUUCCUAUUUAUGGUAUCAAGACUGGUUAUGUUGAAAAUUCCUCAAAAAAGGGGAAUUUGUCUUUUGGCUGUCCUUCCAGUCUAUAAUAUUGUGACUGGCAUGAAGGACUC